CGAUACUGACGAUGAGAUGGUGAGUAUGAGAGAAGAAUAACUACCAAAGAUACAGCGACUGUGAAAAUAAGACGAUUCCGGGGAAGGAAUCAGAUGAUGCGACCGCCAUCACAGCAUAAAGAAAAGGUAACAUCGGGUUGCCGCGAUUUGGGAGAUUGCGGUAUUCUGCCAGACCAACGAAAGGUAAUGUGAUGCAAGAUGUGAAUGUUUACGCUCCAAGGAAUAACAUAUGGUUCCUGGAAGAUAACGUUUGGAUAGCCUGAAGGAAUAGGUCGCUCUCCAAGCAUCAGUUUGUCGAUUUUUGUUUUCAAGGGUAGAGUACUUAUUAACUUAUUGUCGGCAUUACACUUUAUUGCAAUCCGCUCUUUUUGAAAUUCCCGUGCAUAGAGACGUAUGCACGAGGUCAGUGUGACAACAUUGUGACGACACGAGGGCGUUUCCUGCCGCCAGGUUUUUGUUGCGCUUGCUGCGGAAUUUCAUGCGUCCCGCGGCAGAGGGUCUGUGAGGAAGAGGAAUGCGAGACAACGCUGCCUGGUUACCGUCCUAAAGGCUGGUUCAUACUCUUGCGUUUGCGGUUGCGUGCAGCGGCUUGGGUUUACGUUCGCUUCGUCCGGAAACAGGCUCACGCAACCGCAUCCGUGGCACCAGUUCACACAGCCGCAUUCUCCCGUUGCGUUCCUCCAAUGAGCACAGACUGUUUCAGCGCCCUCUUGAUGAAAGAAGCUGUAGCCGACCGAUCUCCCGGAGUAACAGUGCGCAUGCGCUACUUCCUUGAAUCUUAUUGGACAUUUGGCUUCCGCGUGCGGUGCUUGCGUCGAAAAAAUUGGUCUAGUCAACCCCUUGCGUUCGGCUCCUGUAGGACACUUGCGGACAGCGUUUCUCCGUUGCCAUGGCAAUGAUUCGCCUUACGCUCACGCAACACGCCAGCGCAACCUUCAACCCAACAGUGUGCCCCAGUCUUAACAAUAAUGUUACGGAAGAGUCAGUUCUCCCGCUUGCUCCUCCGCGCGGGUGCGAGUCCACUGCCGGCUCCCUCGACAAAGUGGGCGUUACUCUUGAGGUACAUCGAUAUCGAGCCAAAGCGUCACCAGACAAAUGUUCCUGCGAGACGUACUCAUUUGAUUAAGUUAAGGAGCGACCAUUCCCUUUAAAGUGGGACGCCGCAACAAAAUCACCACAAUGAUUUUGACAUAGCAGUAACCCUUGCGGUGUCGGGAACAUACAUACGAAAUAUCGCGUUCCCAAAG